AUAAAAUUUUUUCGAAAGAAAAAUCUGUUCUUAUCAGUUUAAUAUCUGAUACGUCCCCUACCCGGGGACCAUAUAUUAAAUUGAUUUUUGGAAUAGGGAGAUGGAAUAGGGGCUUGCUCCGUCCACUCCACGCAUCGACCCGGUAUUGCAGUACUUCCGGGAACGGUGCACCCCCU
ensembl:snRNA U2 U2 spliceosomal RNA